UUUUAUAAUCUAAAAAAUCAGAACUGAACUCCUUUUUGAAGCAUCAAUAUAUACAUUGUUAUAACAAUUUACAUAAAAAUGCAGGCCUAGUUUAAAAAAAAAACGACUAAGCACAUUUUAUUUAUGGACAUCAACAUUUUUUAAGUACCACAAUAAAGUAAACUACUGCAAUACAAGCUUUAUUUACUAAUUAAUAAAAAUAUUUCUUUAAAAUUAACAAAAUACGUACAUUUAAAAAGUAACAAUUCAAAGAAGUGUUGUUUUUCAAAUGUUAUUUUUUAAAUAUAUAUUUUAUUUGUAUUUUAAGUGUAUUUUUUAAUGCUGGUGUUGACAAGACAGCGCCAACAGGAGAAUGUGAUGCUGUCUUUUUUUUUUUUUUGCAAAGGAGCUUUAUUUAGUUGUUUGAUCACUGUUAAAAAUUUUAAUUAUGGAAACAGCAUACAUUUAAGAAGAUUAAAAGACUGCACUGCAUGUGAAGCUGGUAUGUAUUGUGCUGGUGUUGACUAGACAGCGCCAACAGGAGAAGGUGAUGCUGGUUUUUUUUACAAAGAAACUUCAUUUAGUCUGACGAUCUGGUCGAUGAGUUGAAGAUACCUGCAAAGUACAGUCCACAAAUUUUUUUCAAUUCAACACAAAUGGCGUUCGCAGUAGAUCAGGAUGCGAAAUGAUUAGCACAGAUUUACGGACAAUUAAAGAGGUUUUAUGCGUUAUUGUUAGCAUUUACUAUUUGUUAGAUCUAUCGUAUCCAUCUUCUUUUUCACAACUGAUGGGCCUUUUACAGGAGAUGUUGCUAAAUGAAAGCUUUGAAAAAAAAUCAAAGAAGAUUUUCUCUUGUAUUAAACAGUUAACUUGAUAUUUUGAAUGCGAUUACUAGUUAUUAACUUUUAUAUUUUAUAAAUUGUUUUAUUUUAUAUUUUUAAUUUGUUGUUAUAACAACAAUAAGUAUACUUAUUGUUGUUACUUAUAAUUUUAUAUUUAUGUGGUUACUUUA